rnacentral:rRNA from 1 species
GAUGAACGCUGGCGGCGUGCUUAACACAUGCAAGUCGAACGGAGUUUAUAUGAUUGAGGAUUCGUCCAAAUGAUUAUAAACUUAGUGGCGGACGGGUGAGUAACGCGUGAGUAACCUGCCUUGGAGUGGGGAAUAACACAGAGAAAUUUGUGCUAAUACCGCAUAAUGCAUUUGUAUCGCAUGGUACUGAAUGCCAAAGAUUUAUCGCUCUGAGAUGGACUCGCGUCUGAUUAGCUAGUUGGCGGGUAACGGCCACUAGCCUACGAUGGAUAGGGGUUCUGAGAGGAAGGUCCCCCANACUGGAACUGAGACACGGUCCAGACUCCUACGGGAGCAGCAGUGAGGAAUAUUGGUCAAUGGUACUGACGACUGAACCAGCCAUGCCGCGU